ensembl:lncRNA
CUUUCUCUUUAUUUAUUUGACUGCACCAUCUGCCAAAACAUCAAAACAAACAAAACAUAUUUUUACCAUGUUGUGAUUGUAGCAUAUUUUACUUCAUUACAAAAGUACAGGCAAUUCAUUGUAUGUCAUGCAAGGCUGUUCAGAGCAUGGGGGCGGGGAGAGGUGUUUCAAGAAAUUAGGAAAACAAUUCCAUUUACAAUAUCAUCAGGAAGAGUAAAAUAUUUAGGAAUAAACUCAACUGAAAACUAUAAAAUAUUGCUGAAAGAAAUUAAAGAAGACACAAAUAAUUGAAAAGACCUUUCACAUUCAUGGAUUGGAAGGCUCAAUAUUGUUAAGAUGGUGAUACUACCAAAAGUGAUCUACAGAUUUAAUGCAAUCCCUAUUAAAACCCCAAUGCCAUUUUUUUGCAGAAAUAGAAAAAUCUAUCCUAAAAUUCACAUGGAAUCUCAAAGGACCUCAAAUAGCCAAAACAAACUUAAAAAAAGAAGAACAAAGUUGGAGGCAUCACACUUUCUGAUUUGAAAACUUCUUACAAAGCUACAAUAAUCAAAACAAUGUGGUCCUGGCAUAAAGACAGACAUAUAGACCAAUGAAAUAGAACAAAACCCCAGAAGUAAACCCUUAUGUACAUGGUCAAAUGAUUUUUGACAAGGGUGCCAGGUUCAUUCAAUGGUGAAAGGACAGUUUUUUCAACAAAUGUUGUUGGGAAAAGUGGACAUCUUUAUCUUACAUCAUAUACAAAAGUUAACAUAAAAUGGAUCAAAAACCUAAACAUAAGAGCUAAACCGUAAAACUCCUAGAAGAAAACAUAGUGGGAAAGCUUCAUAACUUUGGAUUUGGCAAUGAUUUCUUGGAUGUGACACCAAAAGCACAAGCAGCAAAACAAAAAUAGAUAAAUUGGAAUUCAUCAAAAGUUAAAACUUCUGGGCAUCAAAGGACACAAUCAAUAUAGUGAACAGGCAACCCAUGGAGUGGGCGAAAAUAUUUGCAAAUCAUAUAUUUAAUAAGGGAUUAAUAUCUAGAAUAUAUAAGGAACUCCUGCAACUCCACAACAAAAACAACAAAACCCCCAAUUUAAAAAUGGAUAAAGGACCUGAAUAGACAUUUCUCUAAGGAAGAUACACAAAUGGCCAGUGAGCACACGAAAAUGUGUUCAAUAUCACUAGUCAUUAGAACAAUGAAAAUCAAAAUCACAACAAGAUGCACCUCACACCCAUCAGGAUGGCUACUACCAAGAAAACGAGAGAAUGACAAGUUUUGGUGAAGACUCAGAAGUUGGAACCCUUGUGCACUGCUGUUGGGAAUGUAAAAUGGUGCAGUCAUUAUGGAAAACAUUAUGGUGGCUCCUCAAAAAAUUAAAAAUAGAGUUAUCACAUGACCUAGCAACCCCACUCCUGGGUAUCUACCCAAAAGAAUUGAAAGCAAGGUCUUAAAGAGAUAUUUGUACACCCACGUUCCCAGCAGCAUUAUUCACGAUAACCAAAAGGUGGCAGCAACCCAAGCGUCCCUCAGUGAAAGAAUGAAUAAACAAAAUGUGAAUAUACAUACAGUGGAAUAUCAUUCAGCCUUAAAAGGAACAGAAAUUCUGGCAUUUGCUACAACGUGGAUGAACCUGGAAGACAUCAUGCUGAGUGAAAUAAGCCAUUCACAGAAAGACAAACACCAUUCCUAUGAGGAAGGCUCAGAGAAAAUCCCAUUCACCAAGGCCGUAAUGUACCUGCAUCACCAGGAAGCUCCAUGGUGGCCCCCCUCUGCAGACAGUGGGAGAGGUUUCUACAGAGCUGGGCUCGCUGAACGCAAGAGGGAUGAUAGGACCCUGGAACAAGAGUGGCUAUGUGGUGACGCAACUCUCAGAAAUCAGGUGAAUGCAAUGAUCAUAAUCAGCAAAAAGCUCAGAGGGGCAAUCAAGGAAGGCUGGACCACAGAAUGUGAUGGAGAUGGAGACCACAUCCCCAGGGGCAAAAUACCUGUCAACAAGAGCACUACGCAACUUGUGCCAUUGGAAGAAAUCGAGGAUGGAUAUUCAGGAGGCCGGUGGGCUAUCUUAACUAUGCCUGAAGAAGUGUGGACCCAUGAGACAUCAUGCAGAACACCGACCCACUACAUCAAUGAUCUUUCCUAGGGAUCCCUGAGAUCCUGACUCCCUGUCAUGGGAUCUGGAGUAACAGCGCCGUGGACCAGGGCAUCUACUUGGUAAUGAAAGAAAUGAGCAUACAACUACAGAAUCUGCUGGCCCAUAAGCCCUAUAAACCAAAAUCUAAGGACCUGACAGAAGGUUGAGAUGCAUUCCUGGGCUACUGCCAGGACUCCACCUUGGGGUGACACCCUGCAAGGACACUGUACAACACAUGGAAUAUUCUUAGGCCUUUAUUUGGUUCCAAAGUGUUUAAAUUAUACUGAAACAGAAACAAGAGGCUGGGAUCUGCCUCUAAUAUUUUAAUAUGUUUAAUUUUUUGGCUUUUAACGAUGAUCUGAAAAGACCACCCAGCAGAAGAGUGAAAGUAGAGAACAAUGACAUUAAAUUUAAAACAAAUCAUUGUAAUUCACAGGUUAGCCUGCAGAUGGUGCCAUAUUACUACUUUUUCUCUUUGCUUUUUCUUCGCUUUAAACCAUCACCUUGACUGCCGUGGGUCAGUGUCCGUCUGGUUGUGACAAACGGGAAGGCAGGCCACAGUCACUGAUUCUCAAAACAUUUGGAGUGGAUUUUAUACUGUCUGAUGUGCAAUCUUCCUUCAAAGAAAGAUAGAUGGUAUUGCUAAUAAAAUUAAAACAGCUCCAAGAAUGGCAGAAUGUAAUGGAAUUUAGGGAGCCUUCUGUCUAACUAUCAGCAGAUAAGAAAGUUAUUUCCUCAAAAUAAUACAGCCAGUAAUUGUCAGGGACAAGCCUCUGCUUCUGACCUUCAGUCACAAGUUAGCCUUAGUUCUGUUACCCCGUUAUUGUCUUCUCACAGGUUAGGGUAAACAUUAUCUCGAGAAUUUGAGAACAUCCUUAUUGGAGAUAGUUUUUAAACCCUGGUUGGCAAUAAUUAACACCCUUGAAUGGGCAGUAGAUUGUACAAACACCACAUGGAAAUGUCAUUGCUUGAUUACAGCAAAGUAAAAAGCCACUAGUCUACAGACUCAGAUUAAAUAUGGAAUAACACAUUUAAGAAACCAGAGAGUAUUUAUGAUUAAGAAGUGGGAAGGAGGAUUAUGGGAUGUGUAAGGGUGGAGGCGGCACAAUUAACGUAUUUUUUGUGCCAUGCACAGUUGUACAUGUUUCUGGGAAAAUAACAGAUCCAAUUAAUUAAUCUUGUCCAUUGGCAGAGUGGGCAAUGAAAUAUACAGUAUGGCUUCAGGGGCACUGGAAAGUAUUCCUGAAUCAUUUGCUCUUAAGUUGAGUUCAAGUUUUUCUGCCCAUUGUGGUACCAUUAAGGCUUAUCGAGAUGUGGGGUCCUGUGUACUAGGUGGGCACUGGUGAAAUGUGACCGUAAGGCGGAGAUUCUCAUACUUUUUGUUUAGAAGAACACUCUACGGUAUUAAAAGUUAUUAAGCACCCCAAAGAGCUUUUGUUUUUGUGGGUUACCGCCAUCGAUAUCCACCAUAUUAGACAUUAAAACAGAAAAA